UAUAAUUGAGUGUAUAAGCACACAGGAUUUUGAUUCCUGUAGACAAACCCGUAUUUGAUUUAUAA
rnacentral:tRNA from 1 species